UCCGCAAUGGGCGAAAGCCUGACGGAGCGACGCCGCGUGGAGGAUUAAGGCCUUCGGGUUGUAAACUCCUGUCACGGGUUAUGAACGGCGUAGUGUUAAUAGCGCUACGAUUGACGUAAGCCCGAGAGGAAGCACUGGCUAACUCUGUGCCAGCAGCCGCGGUAAUACAGAGAGUGCGAACGUUGUUCGGAAUUACUGGGCUUAAAGCGCACGUAGGCGGUGCCGCAAGUGUUGGGUAAAAUCCCACGGCUUACCCGUGGAACUGCCUGGCAAACUGCGGUGCUAGAGGAUGGUAGGGGAGAGCGGAACUCCUGGUGGAGCGGUGAAAUGCGUAGAUAUCAGGAGGAACACCGGUGGCGAAGGCGGCUCUCUGGUCCAUUUCUGACGCUGAGGUGCGAAAGCUAGGGGAGCAAACGGGAUUAGAUACCCCGGUAGUCCUAGCUGUAAACGAUGGGCACUAGUUUGGGGUCUCCCUGUGGGAUCCCAGGCGAAACAAAAGUGAUAAGUGCCCCGCCUGGGGAGUAUGGUCGCAAGGCUGAAACUCAAAGGA
rnacentral:rRNA from 1 species